GACGAACGCUGGCGGCGUGCCUAAUACAUGCAAGUAGAACGCUGAAGGAGGAGCUUGCUUCUCCGGAUGAGUUGCGAACGGGUGAGUAACGCGUAGGUAACCUGCCUGGUAGCGGGGGAUAACUAUUGGAAACGAUAGCUAAUACCGCAUAAGAGUAGAUGUCGCAUGACAUUUGCUUAAAAGGUGCAACUGCACCACUACCAGAUGGACCUGCGUUGUAUUAGCUAGUUGGUGAGGUAACGGCUCACCAAGGCAACGAUACAUAGCCGACCUGAGAGGGUGAAGGGCCACGCGGGAACUGAGACACGGCCCAAACUCCUACGGGGGGGAGGAGGAGGGAAUGUGCGGCAAUGGGAGGAAGUCUGACCGAGAAACGGCGGGUGAGUAAAGAAGGUUUUCGGAUCGGAAAACUCGGUUGAAAGAGAAAAACGGGUGGGAGGGGGGAAAGUUAAAACUGGGAGGGUAUUUUACAAGAAAGGGACGGAUAAAUAGGG
rnacentral:rRNA from 1 species